CGUUUGGCGGAAUUGGUAGACGCGCUAGGUUGCCAACUUAGUGUCCUUUGGACGUGGGGGUUCGACUCCCCUAAUGAUAA
rnacentral:tRNA from 1 species